rnacentral:rRNA from 1 species
UACGUAGGGGGCUAGCGUUGUCCGGAUUUAUUGGGCGUAAAGAGCGUGUAGGCGGCCAGGUAGGUCUGCUGUGAAAACUCGAGGCUCAACCUCGAGACGUCGGCGGAAACCAUCUAGCUAGAGUCCGGAAGAGGAGAGUGGAAUUCCUGGUGUAGCGGUGAAAUGCGCAGAUAUCAGGAAGAACACCCGUGGCGAAGGCGGCUCUCUGGGACGGUACUGACGCUGAGACGCGAAAGCGUGGGGAGCGAACAGG